rnacentral:rRNA from 1 species
GUUGUAUGGUUAAGUGACUAAGCGUACAUGGUGGAUGCCUUGGCAGUCAGAGGCGAUGAAGGACGUACUAACCUGCGAUAAGCUGUGAGAAGUCGGUAAGAGACGCUAUUACUCACAGAUUUCCGAAUGGGGAAACCCACCCGAGAUAACUCGGGUAUCUGUUACUGAAUACAUAGGUAACAGAGGCGAACCGGGAGAACUGAAACAUCUAAGUACCCGAGGAAAAGAAAUCAACCGAGAUUCCCUCAGUAGCGGCGAGCGAACGGGGAUUAGCCCUUAAGCAUCUUGGAAGUUAGUGGAACGGUCCUGGAAAGGCCGGCGAUACAGGGUGAUAGCCCCGUACACGAAAACAACCUUGAUGUGAAAUCGAGUAGGGCGGGACACGUGACAUCCUGUCUGAAUAUGGGGGGACCAUCCUCCAAGGCUAAAUACUCCUGACUGACCGAUAGUGAACCAGUACCGUGAGGGAAAGGCGAAAAGAACCCCUGUGAGGGGAGUGAAAUAGAACCUGAAACCGUGUACGUACAAGCAGUGGGAGCCCUUCGGGGUGACUGCGUACCUUUUGUAUAAUGGGUCAGCGACUUACAUUUUGUAGCGAGGUUAACCGUAUAGGGGAGCCGUAGGGAAACCGAGUCUUAACUGGGCGUCUAGUUGCAAGGUGUAGACCCGAAACCGGGUGAUCUAGCCAUGGGCAGGUUGAAGGUUGAGUAACAUCAACUGGAGGACCGAACCCACUAACGUUGCAAAGUUAGGGGAUGACCUGUGGCUGGGGGUGAAAGGCCAAUCAAACUCGGAGAUAGCUGGUUCUCCCCGAAAGCUAUUUAGGUAGCGCCUCGGACGAAUACUACUGGGGGUAGAGCACUGUUUGGGCUAGGGGGUCAUCCCGACUUACCAACCCCAUGCAAACUCCGAAUACCAGUAAGUAAUAUCCGGGAGACACACGGCGGGUGCUAACGUCCGUCGUGAAGAGGGAAACAACCCAGACCGCCGGCUAAGGUCCCAAAGUUCUGGUUAAGUGGGAAACGAUGUGGGAAGGCUCAGACAGCUAGGAUGUUGGCUUAGAAGCAGCCAUCAUUUAAAGAAAGCGUAAUAGCUCACUAGUCGAGUCGGCCUGCGCGGAAGAUGUAACGGGGCUCAAACCAGGCACCGAAGCCGCGGAUUCACACUUAUGUGUGAGUGGUAGGGGAGCGUUCUGUAAGUCUGCGAAGGUGUAUCGAGAGGUAUGCUGGAGAUAUCAGAAGUGCGAAUGCUGACGUAAGUAACGAUAAAGGGGGUGAAAAGCCUCCUCGCCGGAAGACCAAGGGUUCCUGUCCAACGUUAAUCGGGGCAGGGUGAGUCGACCCCUAAGGCGAGGCCGAAAGGCGUAGUCGAUGGGAAGCAGGUUAAUAUUCCUGCACGACUUGUAAUUGCGAUGGGGGGACGGAGAAGGCUAGGUGGGCCAGGCGACGGUUGUCCUGGUGAAAGUGCGUAGGUGGUGUUUCUAGGCAAAUCCGGAGACACAACACUGAGACACGAGACGAACACACUACGGUGUGGAAGCCAUUGAUGCCCUGCUUCCAGGAAAAGCCUCUAAGCUUCAGAUUACAAGUCAUCGUACCCCAAACCGACACAGGUGGUCGGGUAGAGAAUACCAAGGCGCUUGAGAGAACUCGGGUGAAGGAACUAGGCAAAAUAGAACCGUAACUUCGGGAGAAGGUUCGCUCUUGACAGUGAAGUCCCUUGCGGAUGGAGCAGUUGGGAGUCGCAGUGACCAGAUGGCUGGGACUGUUUAUCAAAAACACAGCACUCUGCAAACACGAAAGUGGACGUAUAGGGUGUGACACCUGCCCGGUGCCGGAAGGUUAAUUGAUGGGGUUAGCGCAAGCGAAGCUCUUGAUCGAAGCCCCGGUAAACGGCGGCCGUAACUAUAACGGUCCUAAGGUAGCGAAAUUCCUUGUCGGGUAAGUUCCGACCUGCACGAAUGGUGUAACCAUGGCCAUGCUGUCUCCACCCGAGACUCAGUGAAAUCGAAUUCGCCGUGAAGAUGCGGUGUACCCGCGGCUAGACGGAAAGACCCCGUGAACCUUUACUACAGCUUGGCACUGAACAUUGAACCUACAUGUGUAGGAUAGGUGGGAGGCUUUGAAGGCGUGACGCCAGUUGCGCUGGAGCCGUCCUUGAAAUACCACCCUUGUAUGUUUGAUGUUCUAACGCAGGGCCCUGAAUCGGGCUCGCGGACAGUGCCUGGUGGGUAGUUUGACUGGGGCGGUCUCCUCCCAAAGAGUAACGGAGGAGCACGAAGGUUGGCUAAUCCUGGUCGGACAUCAGGAGGUUAGUGCAAUGGCAUAAGCCAGCUUAACUGCGAGACGGACAGGUCGAGCAGGUACGAAAGUAGGUCAUAGUGAUCCGGUGGUUCUGAAUGGAAGGGCCAUCGCUCAACGGAUAAAAGGUACUCCGGGGAUAACAGGCUGAUACCGCCCAAGAGUUCAUAUCGACGGCGGUGUUUGGCACCUCGAUGUCGGCUCAUCACAUCCUGGGGCUGAAGUCGGUCCCAAGGGUAUGGCUGUUCGCCAUUUAAAGUGGUACGCGAGCUGGGUUCAGAACGUCGUGAGACAGUUCGGUCCCUAUCUGCCGUGGGCGUUGGAUGAUUGAAGGGAGUUGCUCCUAGUACGAGAGGACCGGAGUGAACGAACCUCUGGUGUUCGGGUUGUCACGCCAGUGGCACUGCCCGGUAGCUAAGUUCGGAAUCGAUAACCGCUGAAAGCAUCUAAGCGGGAAGCGAGCCCUGAGAUGAGUCAUCCCUGACCCCUUGAGGGUCCUAAAGGGCCGUUGGAGACCACAACGUUGAUAGGUGGGGUGUGUAAGCGCGGCGACGUGUUGAGCUAACCCAUACUAAUUACCCGUGAGGCUUAACCAUACAACACCCAAGAAGUGUUCUG